rnacentral:rRNA from 1 species
GACGAACGCUGGCGGCGUGCUUAACACAUGCAAGUCGAACGGAAAGGCCCUGCUUUUGUGGGGUGCUCGAGUGGCGAACGGGUGAGUAACACGUGAGUAACCUGCCCUUGACUUUGGGAUAACUUCAGGAAACUGGGGCUAAUACCGGAUAGGAGCUCCUGCUGCAUGGUGGGGGUUGGAAAGUUUCGGCGGUUGGGGAUGGACUCGCGGCUUAUCAGCUUGUUGGUGGGGUAGUGGCUUACCAAGGCUUUGACGGGUAGCCGGCCUGAGAGGGUGACCGGCCACAUUGGACUGAGAUACGGCCCAGACUCCUACGAGAGGCAGCAGUGGGGAAUAUUGCACAAUGGGCGGAAGCCUGACGCAGCAACGCCGCGUGCGGGAUGACGGCCUUCGGGUUGUAAACCGCUUUCGCCUGUGACGAAGCGUGAGUGACGGUAAUGGGUAAAGAAGCACCGGCUAACUACGUG